rnacentral:rRNA from 1 species
UUCCGGUUGAUCCCGCCGGACCUGACUGCUAUCGGAUUGAUACUAAGCCAUGCGAGUCUUUGUAGCAAUACAAGGCAGACGGCUCAGUAACACGUAGUCAAUCUACCCUAUGGACGGGGAUAACCUCGGGAGACUGAGAAUAAUACCCGAUAGAUCAUUAUGCCUGGAAUGGUUUAUGGUUCAAAUGAUUUUUCGCCAUAGGAUGGGACUGCGGUCUAUCAGCUUGUUGGUGAGGUAAUGGCCCACCAAGGCUAUAACAGAUACGGGCUCUGAGAGGAGAAGCCCGGAGAUGGGUACUGAGACACGGACCCAGGUCCUAUGGGGCGCAGCAGGCGAGAAAACUUUGCAAUGUGCGAAAGCACGACAAGGUUAACCCGAGUGUUUUCUGCUAAAGAAAUCUUUUGUCAGUCCUAAAAACACUGACGAAUAAGGGGUGGGCAAGUUCUGGUGUCAGCCGCGCGCGGUAAGACCAGCACCUCAAGUGGUCAGGAGGAUUAUUGGGCCUAAAGCAUCCGUAGCCUGCUCUGUAAGUCUUCGGUUAAAUCUAUAUGCUCAAUAUAUAGGCUGCCGGGAAUACUGCAGAGCUAGGGAGUGGGAGAGGUAGAUGGUACACGGUAGGAAGGGGUAAAAUCCUUUGAUCUAUUGAUGACCACCUGUGGCGAAGCGCGGUCUACUAAGAACAGCUCGACGGUAGGGGAUGAAAGC